UACGUAGGGGGCAAGCGUUGUCCGGAUUUAUUGGGCGUAAAGAGCGUGUAGGCGGCCAUUCAGGUCAGCUGUGAAAACUCGAGGCUCAACCUCGAGACGUCGGUUGAAACCGUUUGGCUAGAGUCCGGAAGAGGAGAGUGGAAUUCCCGGUGUAGCGGUGAAAUGCGCAGAUAUCGGGAAGAACACCCGUGGCGAAGGCGGCUCUCUGGGACGGUACUGACGCUGAGACGCGAAAAGCGUGGGGAGCGAACGAGG
rnacentral:rRNA from 1 species